rnacentral:lncRNA from 1 species
AGCUCUCAUUUUCCUAUUUUGGAUGCUUUGUGUUGCAUAAUAUCUGGGAUACAGUAGCAGGUUGGUUGCAAAUGUUUGAAACAGAAAUAGGUUGCAUUUCAGAGUCCAACUGUGAGCCUGUGAAGCAGCUAGCGUUCUCUCAAGGUCUGUUGCCUCGGAAUCGGUUAGAAAUUAUUGUAUUUAGGUGUAAAAUGGUGACUUGGUCUUUCAGGCGGCUUGAGUUUAUAACUGGCCCUUUUACCCUGAGACUUAUCAGCUACCUCCUUCUCCAAAAGAAUGACAGAGAAGGUCAUAUGCCGGGGAUUUGGAGCUCGUGAAAAAAAAUGUGGAGAAAAAAAAAGCAUAUCGAGAGCAUGAGUGGGAGUGUGUGCAUCAGGGGACGCAUGUGGAAGUGAAACAGAUCCCUCAGGCCCGCGAGCCGAUCGCGCUGCGUUUGUCAGUCCUGCCCGGGCGACAUUUUUUCCCUAAGCUACUGCACACUAAAGCAGAGAGAGAGCUUUCCUCGCAGCCUUCUUGAAGCCCCCUGAUUUUUUUAUUCAUUGUUGGUGGGUGUAUUUUAUUUUACGUUUUAUUCCCUGGACUAUGGGUUAUGGUGUCAAUAUUCACUGAAGACAAAAAGCAACCUUUUCUGCAUCUCGGUGGUAGGCAUAUUCCUCAUCCUCCUUUCAAACUUGUGGUGGAAAAGGGUUUUCUUUUCUUCUGGUGUCUAUUGAGCCAGCACAGUUGACAGCAUUGAGUUGGUCGUUAACUUGUGAGCGGUUGUGGUCAUGUUGUGAGGUAUGUGAUCUUCGUUAGGUUAAUUCUGUGGACCUGGUGGACAGCGUAUGUUUUACCGUAGUCCAGGGGCUGGUGCUGCAGUGCCUAUUGUUUGCUCCUUUUUAAAGUUAUUUUUACAGCAUGGCUGGGAGCUGAAAUGUUCCUGGGCUAGAGAGUUUGUGAGCCACAGAAGUCUGUCUUUACAGCAAAAUGGGUAUUAAGAUGCAUGCCUUAACUGUGAUGUUGUUUAUUUAAAAAAAAAAAAAAACUUGCUGCAUGGACAAUACUUGGAUGAUUUGCGGGCACUGAAACAAAAACUUCCCAGAGACUUUACUGGGUUACUUUCCAUUACAAAUGAAGCAGAGCAUUGUUACAAAGGCUGUUAAAACAUUCGAUAUUCUUGCUGUGAUGUUACAUUUUGCCUAAUGGUGAGAAAGUUGACUUAUAUGGUCUAAACUGAGAAACUCAAAGAUUUUUAACUAUUACCUAAAUGUCUGAAGUUCAUAGUGAUGAAACAUUAUUUCAAUUGUAACAGAAAUAUGUCUUCUCAUGCAACUUACAUUAAUAAACUAGAAGUCCAGACUGCAAACUUUAGUUUCAAGAUAGGUCAUAAUAAGGAAAUAAAUAGAUAUGCAAAUAUUCAUAUGAUAGUUAUUCGAACUAUAGAGCAUUGAAUUUGACUUUAGUAUUAAAUUAGCCAUGACAAUUUCUUGUACCACUAAAACUCUACUAUAUAAUACUGUAGAAUUUUAAGUUAUUUAUUUACUUUGAGUAAAAAUAUUUUUCCUAAGAGCUUUUGUGUUUGAGUGUAUUUUACUGAACAAAAUUAACUUCACAGACAAAAGCACCCUACCACCACCCUUAUAGGCAUAAGGGAGUCUUUCUAAUUGUUCAACUUCAUAAAAGUUAUGCAGCUUUCUAAACGAUAAAUAGAGCAUGUCUGCCAUGCAGAUAAAAAUGUGAUUACUUUUUUUAAAAAAGUGUUUUGCACAAUAUUCCCUUUUGAAAAACAGCUCCAUUGCAUUCCCGUAAGUUUUCACCUCUUCAGAACUUUGAAUGCAAAGUGUUGAUUGUAUAUCAUAUACACGACUAAGUGACACGUUCUAGGAAAAAGGAAGUUUAUUUUUUUUUCUAAUUGACCUGAAGGAAAGUGUAUGAUUCUAUGCUCUCAAGUACAAUAGGUUAAUUGGUUGAAAUUCUCCACAAGGUUGAACUGUAGUGACAUAUUUUCUUUAUUAAAGACAAUAGACGGUUGCUGAUAUGCUUGUAUAAUAAUUUUUUACUUGAUGGCACUUUUAAAAAACUCUUGCCACAGUAUCACGGAUGACUUAUAAGCAAAGCAGCUGUUAUGUAAUCCUUCCUUUUAAAAUCAGCCAUUUUUUUUUAUAUUUUAGCUCGAGUAUUACAGAAAUGAUUUCACUCUAGUAAUUUCACACUUAGUAAGUUCAAAACAAUAAAAGCCCGAUAGUUUGUGAAGAUUAUUUAAAGUGACAUCACUUUUCUCAGAGGACUGUAGUUGAAUCACGGUAACGUGAUACCUGGAUCUAUAUUAUAAUAGGAAGGAUUAUGCUGGUGCUUUUUGAUCAGUACAUGUCGUCUUCAGAUUUGGAAAGCAGAAUUGUCAACUUCUGAGCAAACUAGGAGGUAGCAGAGUUGGUUUUUCCUUCUCCCCCACCCCCUCAAAAAAAGUUAAUUACCAAUCUUGGUUGGGUUCUUCCUUGUCUCCCUGACAUUUGACUGCUGCUAAUUCACUGAUUAAUCUCAUUAAUGUGAUUAUAGUGGGAUUUGGAGCUGGCUGCCAUUGUUCUGUAGACAGUGCCAUUCAGCCCGAGCACUUGCCACCUCAUUCAGUUUUGCUGUGAUUUUUCAAAGGCUGGUUGAGUGAGCCAUUGUGAGCAGGGCUUCUCUCCCCUUCCCUUUCAGCACCGGGAGCUGUCCGCUGCUGAUAGCAAUUACGUUCAGCCCUGACUGACUUUCCACUAGUUUACUGGCAACGUAAAAAUGGCUCACUUUCAUCACCUUGAUGAUUGUGCUCCUUGAGGUAGGAGCAAGAGCAGCCUUUAUGGUCACAAUUGGGUGUUUUGAAGAUGGUGGCAGAAAAGAUAUGCAAUCUCUGUGUUUUACUCUGCACAUAAGAAUUUCACCCCACUUUCCAAAUUGCCAAACAUUAGGAUUUCAUUAAAAUCACUUGCCUAAGUAUACAAUGGUGCAUUGGAAAACUGUAAACACUAGGUAGACAUGUUUUUCAGAUGGAAAAGCUUUUUGUAAUGGAAAGGUAUGUAAUUACUGAUAGACAUUUAUUUUGGAAACGAUAAGCCAGGACCAUCAAGAUGAACCAGCAAGACAGGAAGUAUACAUGAAGCAUAAAUGUCAACUUCUCAUGAGUUAAACUUGCAUCCUGCCGCGAAACUUGGGCUGAUUUUGUGUAUGUGUGUUAGAAGCUGAGAUCAAAGUUAAAGGCCCAAUGAUCUGUAGACCAUGUAUGUGUGCUGUAACAAAAUUCCUAAAGGAAUAUGAGCACAGAAUUUCCUUUCAGACUAUAAAUAUAGAACAAGCAUGAUUUCAGGAAAAUGUGGGCACUUUCAGAAAAGGGGCCCCUUCAGUCUAUGCCUUCCAUUGUUCCUGUUCUGUUUUUCACCUAGCUUAUUUUUUUUUACUGUCUUGAAAAUAUUUAUAUUCCAUACUUUACUAUUGAAUAUGCCUGAUGUUUUAUGCCUGUUGUCUAUGCCAAUUUUCAGUAGACUAAGAAAAGGGAAUAAGUUAUUUUGUAACUUCAAGGCUUUUUAAAGUUUUUCUAUUUGUUAAAACUAUACUUAAAAUUUAGACUUAAUCUAUUUGUUGAUUUGCUUUUAGAAAUACUUCACAUGUGUGAUUAAAAAAUCCAAACCAGUUUUCUGUGAAAAAAAUUAUUUUGUUGCCUAAAUAAUAUUUUCAAAGUCACAUGGGUAAACCAGAUUUCCAACUCUACCUGUAGGAUAAUCUGAGGGAGAGGUAUUGUCAUAAGAAACAUGGUAUAAUCACCCAAAAUAUGUUGUUUACUUAUUAUAUAUUUUGAUGGCUACAUUUUUAACUUCAAACAACUUAGCAUUUUAGUUACUCUUGAAUAUUUUAUAUUAAGAAGCCCACUCAGUGAGAUAAGAGGGACUAGCAAGACACUUUUUGGUGAAGGCAGCC